GUGAGGGAAAGGUGAAAAGAACCCCCAGUGGGUAGUGAAAUAGAACGUGAAACCGUGCUGAGCUCCCAAGCAGUGGGAGGGGAAAGUGAUCUCUGACCGCGUGCCUGUUGAAGAAUGAGCCGGCGACUCAUAGGCAGUGGCUUGGGUAAGGGAACGGAACCCACCGGAGCCGUAGCGAAAGCGAGUCUUAAUAGGGCGAUU
rnacentral:ncRNA from 1 species